AUUGAACGCUGGCGGCAGGCUUAACACAUGCAAGUCGAGCGGGGAAGGGUAGCUUGCUACCUAACCUAGCGGCGGACGGGUGAGUAAUGCUUAGGAAUCUGCCUAUUAGUGGGGGACAACAUCUCGAAAGGGAUGCUAAUACCGCAUACGUCCUACGGGAGAAAGCAGGGGACCUUCGGGCCUUGCGCUAAUAGAUGAGCCUAAGUCGGAUUAGGUAGUUGGUGGGGUAAAGGCCUACCAAGGCGACGAUCUGUAGCGGGGCUGAGAGGAUGAUCCGCCACACUGGGACUGGAACACGGCCCAGACUCCUACGGGAGGCAGCAGUGGGGAAUAUUGGACAAUGGGGGGAACCCUGAUCCAGCCAUGCCGCGUGUGUGAAGAAGGCCUUUUGGUUGUAAAGCACUUUAAGCGAGGAGGAGGCUACUGGUAUUAAUACUACCGGAUAGUGGACGUUACUCGCAGAAUAAGCACCGGCUAACUCUGUGCCAGCCGCCGCAGUAAUAC
rnacentral:rRNA from 1 species